UGGAGGUCAUACCCUGGAUGUUUUGGUGUAUUGUGGCCAAAUUAGGUGUGAUUUGGCCCAAUGGUUUUGUUGUUAACUCGAUCCUGCAAAUGAAUAGUACAUUUUUAUAUAUAGAUAAAUGGAGGGAGGGGGAAGGGGAGACAUAGGAAUGCAUGGUGGAGAGAAAAGGGAAGACAUGGAGACACAAACAUGCAUGUGGAAGAGAAGGGAAUGCAGGGGCACAAAGGAGAAAAGGAAAGGCAAGAAGACACACACAUGCACAUGAGGGAGAGAAGGAAAUUUGAGCUCAAAUACAAUUACAGUGACCCCAUUUAGGGUCCUGACCUAUAGUUUAAGAAACACUGUUAUACAUAGUAUAUAUUUUCUCCAAUUUAUAUCAGCUGUCACCAUAGGUGGCAUGAUGGUAUUCCUCAGGCAUAUUGCAGCUUGGUAAAUGAGUAUAUCAGCUACAGCCAUUCUUACUUUUUCAGUUUUCCCACACACACACACACUGCCUUAUGUAAAUGAACGAACAUGAACAAAAGCUUAUUCAGGCUUUUGCUCAUGUUAUAUUAUUGUUAUUUUCCAAUUCCAUGCAUUCAGCUUCAGCAUAUGAUAAACUUGUGAAUGAGAGGUCUUCAUGGCCAUGUUCAAGUUUCACAAACUGAUUGCCAUGGCUUUCUGGAGAGAACCAAUCCCUUUGCAAUGUGGUCUACCUCUUUUCCAACUGACUUCCACUUAACAGGGCAUUACUAGUUUUUCCAAUGAGUUGUCCAAAAUACCAUAUACUUAUUUCAGUCACUUUGGCUUAUAGUGAGAAUCAGUCUUGAUACGAUCUUGGAUCAAUUUAUCUACCUUUCUUGGCAGUCCAUAAAGUACAUAGAAUUCACCUCCAGCAUCACAUUUAAGAUGAAUUCAUUCUCUCACUAUUUGAUUUCCACAUUGUUCUUAUUUCACAACCAUGUAUGAACAUUAGAAAGAUGAUGGCAUAGAUGAGUUGGACUUGCAACUUCAGCAUCCUAGGACACUUUCACGCCAUCUGGAGGAUGGAGGUCAAUGCAGGACAUCAUAUGACAUUGUGUUACUUCCAGCAUAGGCGUCGCCCUCUACUAGGUUGAAAGUGUCACUGAACGCUUUCAGCCCAACAUGGGAGGCUUCCUGUGUUGCACUGGUUCCAGUGGAGUUAGUACGUGGCCUCCCUGUGAGGGCAACACUUUCCACAUUUGAUGGGGAAAGCAUUGUAAAGAGGGAAUAGUGUGCGGGGCAACAGAUUCACCCCAUUGCUCCCUCUUUCCUUGUGGAAGCCUUCUGAUAAAGUCAUUGGUUUUUGAUGGCAUAUUUUUGCCCUUGAAGAUGAUUCCUAUUUCUUUCAUAACUUUCCUUCCAUAUCAUAGUCUUCUUCUGGUUUUUUGACUUCCCAGUCCAUUCUCCCACACAAUCCGUCCCUUAGGACACUGAGGUCCUCCGGGAGAUCAUUACUUCAACCAGCCAGAACCUGACUUGCAACUGUCACCCAGAGGGCCUUUUCAUCAGCUGUUCCAUGACUGUACAGUGAUCUGUCAGAAAAGAUCCAAUAUCUAAACAAGCCACUGGAAAUGAAGACACACCUGAAGACCCAUCUCUUCUGGCAGGCCUACCCAGUCAACUUUGAAUUCUGAGUUUUGAAUUUGCAUUCUAUUUAUGCUAUAUGAUUAUUUUUGUAACUUGUGUUUGGUGCAUGUUUUUUAAAAUGAUGUAUUCUUACCUAUGUAUUUUAUUAUAUUUAUUUUGUGUGCAUAUGUUCUGAUGUUGUUGUACCCUGCCUUGAACCAUUAGGAGAGGUGAGUAUUAAAAAUGAAAUGUAUUAUUGUUAUGGUUGAGCCUUAUGGCUCCGAUACUGGGAGACGUGGUCGUAAGACUCCUCGGGAGUCAGAUACUCUCGAGGAGCGAGAAAGGAAGCGGCUGCGGGACUUAUUUGCAGAACCAUCUGACGAGGAUUCCUUUGUGGGUUUUACUGAGAGAAUGGAGGAAGAGAUGGUUAGCUCAGAGGAGGAUGACAUGGAAUGGACUCGUGUGAGGGAGGAUUUGGGUGCCACUGGCAAUGAUAGUAUGGAAGGCGAUUGGGGACCUUCAGGAUUAGACCCGUGGACAAGCUGGAGGGAUGGGACGGGAUCCACAGCUGGGGAUGCUGUGGGGCGUAGUCAAAGGUGUUUCAGUUCUGAUGAGGAAAGUGAUGAGGAGACGCUCGGAAUUAGGGGAACAGCUGAUAGCGAUGAGGAGCUGUAAACUGGCAUAAAAUGGGGUUUGGAAGCAAUGGCUAAUUGCGUUGGGCAAGGUAAUCUGGACGAACGCUUGGGCUCUGUGUGGGAAAUUCCUGAAGACGGGUGUGAUUCGUUUGCUGACUACCUUGGACCUCCGUCGUCUUCUUGACGGACGCCAUCUGUUUAUUCUGGACUGACUGACUGACUGACUACGGCCUCGGACUCUCCUUCCUGUGAUUAUCGUUGGACCUGGUGAACUACAAACGUCUGUACCUGCCUUACGACCUUCGGACCGGAUUGGAACUUCGCUGACCGCUUCUGCCCUUGAAUGCUGCGUUUGUAUCUGGAAAUUGCUUGCUGUGUGGAGGAGUAACCUCUUAGUUACUUAAACAUAGCCUUUGGCAGCAGAGAAGCAUCUCCUGUCAGGUUUUUUGUAUUCUUUUGAACUUUUUGUUCACCAGCUUUUGUUUGUUUAAGUCCCAGGCUGAAGUAAGCUUUUUUGGUUUAACCCGGAUUAAACUCCGGUUUAAUCCGGUUUAUCUUUUGAGCGUUUUCCUUGUGUCUUUUUACUUUUAAGGCCAGUGUUUGCCUAGCCCUUGUCUUUUACGGGCAUUUUUGGUUCUGUAACACCAAUAAACUUUGUUAUAUCUUAUCUUGUGGCGUUCUGUCCUUGACAAUUAUUAUUAUUAUUAUUAUUAUUAUUAUUAUUAUUAUUAUUAUUAUUAUUAUUAUUAUUUUAUUAUGACACAGCAAACAAGAUAGAUAUGCUGGAUUUCGUAUCACAAAAUCACAAGUUGAACACUUCCCAAGUGUCUAGGACUGUGUGAUGUAUUUUCGGAUGAUGCGUGCAGAUCCCAGUAGGGUGGCCUUUUGCAGUUGGCAGAUCAUGAUUUUGUCAAUGUCUAUUGUUUCCAAAUGCCGACUGAUAUCUUUUGGCACGGCACCCAAUGUGCCCAUCGACCACCUGCACUGGUUUCUGCCAGAGUCUUUGAAGUUCAAUCUUGAGGUCUGGAUAGCGGCUGAGUUUUUCCUGUUGUUUUUCAGCAAUGCGACUGUCACCUGGGAUGGCGACAUCAAUGAUCCAAACCUUUUUCUUUUCCACAAUUGUGAUGUCUGGUGUGUUGUGUUCCAGAACUUUGUCAGUCUGGAUUCAGAAGUCCCACAGUACCUUUGCGUGCUCAUUUUCCAAUACUUUUGCAGGUUUGUGGUCCCACCAGU